GAUGAAGAACGUAGCGAAAUGCGAUAAGUAAUGUGAAUUGCAGAAUUCAGUGAAUCAUCGAAUCUUUGAACGCACAUUGCGCCCCCUGGUAUUCCGGGGGGCAUGCCUGUUCGAGCGUCAUUUCAACCCUCAAGCUCUGCUUGGUAUUGGGCGUCGCCGGGGAGUCUCCACGGCGUGCCUCAAAGCCAUCGGCGGUGGUGCCUUUCUCUAAGCGUGGUAGAAUUUUUAUUCGCUUCUGAGUUGGGCUUCGCCUGCCGGACAAACCGGGCCCUCGCGGCCCACCUUCUCAGGUUGACCUCGGAUCAGGUAGGGAUACCCGCUGAACUUAAGCAUAUCAAUAAGCGGAGGA
rnacentral:misc_RNA from 1 species